rnacentral:rRNA from 1 species
AAUACGUAGGUGGCGAGCGUUGUCCGGAUUUACUGGGCGUAAAGGGUGCGUAGGCGGAUGUUUAAGUGGGAUGUGAAAUCCCCGGGCUUAACCUGGGGGCUGCAUUCCAAACUGGAUAUCUAGAGUGCAGGAGAGGAAAGCGGAAUUCCUAGUGUGGCGGUGAAAUGCGUAGAGAUUAGGAAGAACACCAGUGGCGAAGGCGGCUUUCUGGACUGUAACUGACGCUGAGGCACGAAAGCGUGGGUAGCAAACAGGA